AGCGGCCUCUCCCUAGAAGGAAGGAAAGGAAGAGCCAAAGAGAGGUACAGAGAGAAAAUAAAGCAAGAUGUUGGACAUUUACAUCUCCAUGUCCCUGUCUUCUACAAGGAGUUAAGCAAUCUUCAAUACAACUGGAUGCUUCCUUCCCAAUACAGAAUGGUGUCCAACAGAGUUCAAAUGGCUGGAGGAGGUAAGAGGUGAGAAGUUGAAACAUGGAGGAAAAUUCCAGAGAAACAUGAAAUGGGAAAAGUGGAACUGGAAAGAUGACCAUUGACAAGGGAUUGUAUUGAACUGAACCCCACGAUGACACAGGAGGAAGAAGAGUUGGAUUCGCUGACUUCUAGCUGCCAAGUGGAGUUUCGGUGGAAACAACUUUAAGCUUAGUAUGAACUGUCUCCUGCAGUCUUUGGAACUUGAAGGAACUCCCAGGAAUGCUGUGUACAAGUGUGAUGACCACUCACCCAAAAUUGUGCAAAACCAGGAUAAGUGGUGGAAGAGCCUGGACCAGAGCUAAGAAGACACCUCCACUCCUGGUUCUGCCAUAGCCUUGUGAUAGCUUGUGCUGUGACCUGGCUUUUACAGACUAUUGUUUACUCAUCCGAAAAGCAAAGUGUUAGAACUUGAUAAUCCCCUACGUCCUUCUCUG
ensembl:lncRNA